GGGGCCAUUAUUUCAUCUGCGGGUAAGAGUAAAAAUCUGCACUUUUUUGUUUCUUAUAUUGUGUAACUGCUGCAAUCAGUGGCAGAUCUAAUACAUGAAAAUAGGGGUAAAUUGACCCCUCUUUUUUGUUAAAUGCUCUUUGUAUUUAUAUAUGAUUGUAUACUUUGACCCUCAUAAAUUAAAUUAUUAAACCCUCAUUUUGAUGGAAUUUAAAAUUACUUGAGACAAAUAAGUAUGCUAUGUAUUCAAAAAUUUAUUUGCUUUUAAAAUUCUAUUUGUAACUUUUUCGAUAAUGAAUGAUCAGUUGAUGAAUGGCUUUCAAUUAACUUAUUCAAUAAUAUUUUAUUAUUUAGAUUUUAUAUAUUGACCCUAGAAAAAAAAUUUCUAGAUCGUUACUGGCUGCAAUAUGUUGAAAUUGAUAGUAGUACGAUAGUUUUGAGUUUAUGUGCUCUACAGAUACAAGGGUUAUUAUGAAUAUG
rnacentral:misc_RNA from 1 species